AUGAAUUAUCAUAAUUUAAUAAAUGCAAUCGUUGUAUUAAAGUCAAUUAACCUAUACAUAUUACAUUUGACAAAAUAAUUAUUUCAAUAUUUCAUAAUUAAUUUAUUUUAUCAUUAUAUGAUUAAUUAUUUCGUGUAUAGAUAAUGGACGACCAAAGAUAUAUGGUGUGCGAGUUUCCAAAUGAAGAAGAUAGCAUAUCUAUUGGAUAUUUAGAAUGGCUGGAAAAUAAAUUCACAAACAUUGAAUUAGAUGAUGUAAUUAAACGCGGGACGAUAGUGAAAGUUCGAUGGCCAAAAGACUGUGAUGUGGGCCCUGUAGCAACAACAAUGAAAAAAAAAUUGGCCAAUUGUCAAUGGGAGGUGGUUGCAACAAAAUUACGGGCAUAUGGAGGAUGGAUUAAAAUGUGUGAGAUCAGAGACAAUUUAGAAAAGUAUGGUAUCACUGAACUUGACAGAAGUAAUAGAAAACAGUUCACGAGUAAAAAUAACCAUACAGAAUGUGAUAGUAAUGAUGAAUCAGGAGUAAAAGAAACAAAAAAGGAUGCGAAACAAAAGAAAUGUAUUCUAAAUGUAAAAAAAGGAAAAGAACUUUUAAAACAAUACAAACACAAAAAGCAGAAAUAUUCGUCACAGAAUAAAUCGAUAGAUAUCAGCGACGACGAAUCUGGUGAAGAAAACGAAAAAUCUCUCAUUCAUAAACAAUCAAAGUCACAAUUAAAAGAUACAGUCAUUGUAUUAAAUGAGGAAAACAAAAGAUUACGAAGAGACAAUGAAAGACUGCGCAAAUUACGAUUUGUCAACGAAGAUUUGCCAAAGAUAGAUAAAUUUAUGAAAGAUGUUACGGCCGACUUGCAAUGUGCUUCAUGGAAAACCGAAUUUCUCAAUAAUCAGAUUGAUAAACUGCAACAGAAAGUACAAGCAAUAAGUAACUGCAUUAUUGAACGUGAGCAAGAUUAUACUCCGCCUCCAGCAAUGACACUAGAGUCUGAUCCGAUCUGGAUCAGCAAUAAGUUGGAUCUACCAAACAAUAAGUUAAAAUCAUUUCGAAAUCAAAUCGAUGUAUCGCCUGCAACAUUGAUAGUGCAAAAUAACGAGUUAGAGCCAAUUGUAAGUAGCGAUAAGUUAAUACGAGUAAAAUCGUCUCAAAGAUCGGAUACAGAUGAGUUUCGUGAAUCAACAUCCUCACGUGAGUCGAAACCUUCGACAUCCGGACAUAUUCUACCGCAAAAUUAUAACCGAGAAUCAUCACCGGAAGAUUUCUUUGAUACUCAUCCAGACGUUAGAAAUAAAAAAUAAAAGUAGUCAACACACAUGAAUUGGAAAACGUACACGAAUCGAAUGCAGUAGAUAAAAUAAAGCCUGCGGAUAAGCAUCAAUCAAUCGCAGAAAAAACAGUCGACCUGGGAGGACCAGAACUUUGUGUGGUGAAUGCUACUCGUCUUUCUU